ACAGUGGUGGUUCAGUGGCAGAAUUUUCACCUUCCAUGUAGGAGACCUGGGUUCCAUUACUGGCUACUGUA
rnacentral:tRNA from 1 species